rnacentral:rRNA from 1 species
AAUCCCUUUCCUCUCAUGAGGAAAGGCUGAAAGAUGGUUUACGCUAUCACUUAUAGAUGGGCCCGCGGCGCAUUAGCUAGUUGGUGAGGUAACGGCUCACCAAGGCAACGAUGCGUAGCCGACCUGAGAGGGUGAUCGGCCACACUGGGACUGAGACACGGCCCAGACUCCUACGGGAGGCAGCAGUAGGGAAUCUUCCGCAAUGGACGAAAGUCUGACGGAGCAACGCCGCGUGAGUGAUGAAGGUUUUCGGAUCGUAAAACUCUGUUGUCAGGGAAGAACAAGUAUGGGAGUAACUGCCCGUACCUUGACGGUACCUGGCCAGAAAGCCACGGCUAACUACGUGCCAGCAGCCGCGGUAAUACGUAGGUGGCAAGCGUUGUCCGGAAUUAUUGGGCGUAAAGCGCGCGCAGGCGGCCUUUUAAGUCUGAUGUGAAAGCCCCCGGCUCAAUCGGGGAGGGUCAUUGGAAACUGGAAGGCUUGAGUGCAGAAGAGAAGAGCGGAAUUCCACGUGUAGCGGUGAAAUGCGUAGAGAUGUGGAGGAACACCAGUGGCGAAGGCGGCUCUUUGGUCUGUAACUGACGCUGAGGCGCGAAAGCGUGGGGAGCGAACAGGAUUAGAUACCCUGGUAGUCCACGCCGUAAACGAUGAGUGCUAAGUGUUGGGGGGUUUCCGCCCCUCA